rnacentral:rRNA from 1 species
UUGUUGGUAAGGUAAAAGCUUACCAAGGCUUCGAUCAGUAGCUGGUCUGAGAGGACGACCAGCCACACUGGGACUGAGACACGGCCCAGACUCCUACGGGAGGCAGCAGUGGGGAAUUUUGGACAAUGGGGGCAACCCUGAUCCAGCCAUGCCGCGUGAGUGAAGAAGGCCUUCGGGUUGUAAAGCUCUUUCAGCCGGAACGAAACGGUUACGGUUAACACCCGUGACUACUGACGGUACCGGAAGAAGAAGCACCGGCUAACUACGUGCCAGCAGCCGCGGUAAUACGUAGGGUGCGAGCGUUAAUCGGAAUUACUGGGCGUAAAGCGUGCGCAGGUGGUUUUGUAAGUCAGAUGUGAAAGCCCCGGGCUCAACCUGGGAACUGCGUUUGAAACUACAAGACUAGAGUGUGGCAGAGGGGGGUGGAAUUCCGCGUGUAGCAGUGAAAUGCGUAGAGAUGUGGAGGAACACCGAUGGCGAAGGCAGCCCCCUGGGUCAACACUGACGCUCAGGCACGAAAGCAUGGGGAGCAAACGGGAUUAGAUACCCUGGUGGUCCAUGCCCUAAACGACGUCAACUAGUUGUCGGGCCUUUACGGGCUUGGUAACGUAGCUAACGCGUGAAGUUGACCGCCUGGGGAGUACGAUCGCAAGAUUAAAACUCAAAUGAAUUGACGGGGACCCGCACAAGCGGUGGAUUAUGUGGAUUAAUUCGAUGCAACGCGAAAAACCUUACCUACCCUUGACAUGUAUCGAAGCCCGCAGAAAAGCGGGGGUGCCCGAAAGGGAACGAUAACACAGGUGCUGCAUGGCUGUCGUCAGCUCGUGUCGUGAGAUGUUGGGUUAAGUCCCGCAACGAGCGCAACCCUUGUCAUUAAUUGCCAUCAUUUAGUUGGGCACUUUAAUGAGACUGCCGG